rnacentral:rRNA from 1 species
GACAGAGGUCCCGAGCGUUAGGCGGAAUCACUGGGCUUAAAGCGUGUGUAGGCGGAUCGUUAAGUGCCUUGUGAAAUCCCAUGGCUUAACCAUGGAACUGCUUGGCAUACUGGCGAUCUUGAGCCACUUAGGGGCAACCGGAACAAAUGGUGGAGCGGUGAAAUGCGUAGAUAUCAUUUGGAACGCCAAUGGUGAAAACAGCUCGCUGGGGGUGCACUGACACUGAGACACGAAAGCCAGGGGAGCGAACGGG